UGACUGACUGACACUACUAGA
rnacentral:piRNA from 1 species